CUCCCCACCCAAGGGUAGUAUUUGGUGUCCCUUGGGCUCUUCCCGUGGGGGACAGGUGGGGAAUGACUGUGUGGCCACCUGGCAGCUUGCGGGCCUCCCUCACACCCCUGCCCAGCCUCGGCCCCUCAGAUGGGCACCAAGGGUGAGGGCUGGGCCCUGGGGCCCCCAAAUGGAUGACAGGGGCCUCUCCUCCAGCCAUUGGGCAUGAGAGAGGCCUGUGGCCCAGCCCAGAGUCAGAUGUUUCCAGGCCUCCGGGGAUCAGAGAGGCCAGCCGGAGACGAGGUCGCAGCCACAGCAGCUGGUCGGCUGGCCCCAGAGUACUCACCGGCACAUAAUGCACCACGGUGUCCACCACGUUGUCAGUCACGCCCUUCAGUGCAUCUGACAGGGACAUGGCCCUGCCCUUAGGGAUGGAGGCCACGGCACGGGCAGGCGUGAGAUGUAGCACCCUCCCGGCAGUGCCCAGCACGGCAGCGGGCGCCCAAGUCACAACAGAGAUGGUGCUCUGCAAGGCCUUCUGCAGGGUGUGUGCCACACUGCCCAGCAGGCCUCGUGGGCCAGGGCCGGCCGCCACCUGGGAGCAAACACAAGCUCGGGCUCUGACUCCUCCUCCGUCUCCUCCCCCUCCGUGUCCGUGUGGUCAUCGUGGUCUUCCUCCAGGGCAGCCGCCAGAUUGUGCAGCCAGGGCACCCGUACCUCACUCUCCCGCCGCCGCUGCACCACCUGCAUGGCAGCUGAUGCACCCCACUGGGCCAGGCUGCUCUGCAGGACAGAAGGGGGACGCUGGCUUCACAGCCCUGGGAAGGCCCAGGGUAGGGCCUGGCGUGGGGCAAGUCAUACUCCCGAAGAUGACGGCUCUCUGUCACCAUGCAUUGGCCUUGCCUACACUGGAACUUGGUGUAAAUGGACUGAGACAAUGAACAGUUUCUUUUGUGAAGAGCUUCUUUUGUUCUGCACCAUCUUCUGAGAUUCAUUGUUACCGCAUGUUGAACUUGGCCCUGCUUUUUCAUUGCUGUGUAAUGUUCCACUGCAGAAGCAUGCUACUGUAUACCCAUUCUACUU